AUAUAGCGUUAUCACUAUUGGCGGGUUUCGUUGACUUUUUGUGGCUAGUUUUGCAGAAUUGUAAAUAUUGAUGGGUUCGGUUCGUUUGAAAAACCCAACUGUGCAAUUGUAAUGUUGACGUUUAAAUGAGGUACAAUUAAUUCCCUAAAUUGGCUAACUCACAUAAGAUGUUGUCCAUGUCAUUUUGCUUUGUUAUUUGCUACUGUUUGCACUAUUUGCAACGAUAUAUAAUGCAUGGGCAAGUCGCAAACAGUGUCUCGCAUAACAAAGGAAAUUGUAUAUAGCUGUGCCUUAAAUGCUGCACGACCUCAAUAGGUGAACGAUCCAAGAACUGUUUCAUUAGUUUGAUGACACCACGCUGAAAUAUUUACGCAACAAAGGCGCUUCCUUUGUCCAACUGCUCAGUGAAAUAUAACGAUAGCAAGAGCGGCACUAUGUAGCUAGAUCUUUUUUUAACAAACUGCCUUGCCAAUGUGGAUCGUGCAGUGAAUACCCAAGUCAUUUUAUACAGAGUGUAGUUCCUCAGAUUUUUUCCCUGCUCACUUGUUACGAUUGUGGAAAAUGCAUGCGCUGGAAUGAAAGCGAAUACAGAAUAACGCACAGAAGGGUUCUCUCCUAAAUCGUAUUCGGUAACACUGCAUAUUUUCGUGUUGUAUUGAGGUGUCCGCUGCCAGCGUACGAGGGGGCAAUGCCCACUGGGCCAGUGAAAAGAAAACACAAUUAGGGAGCCCACAGACACAGGACGUUCUAGUAGAGCCAGUAGGCUAGUCUCCGCACAUGCAGUUUCAAGUGCAGGAUGAGCAGCAAGCGUAUAAGCAAGUUGAACUGAAAGGGGGAAACCCGAGACUGUAAAUACAUUUACAUGUGUGUAGGGGGGUGUCAUUUGUUAACGGUGUUUUUCAAAUGAGGAUGUUGCUUAAUUUUUGUCGUUUGUCUUUUUUUGAAGUUUUACUUCAUCGAACAAUAAGCGGUUGAUUGCUCCAACGCAUGGCAUGGACUUUGUUCUUAUGUUGAUGGAUUUAGCCCAUGAAUGUUACGAAGGGGACUCAGUAGCAGGAGCACUUUAAGUGUUUGCAGUGGGAGGUGUCCUCUCUGCAGACCCCUGACGGAAAGCCUCACAGACGCAGGCUGGAUGCUCCGGCGUCCGCUCCCCCAGCCCAGAUCCAAUGUCGGGGCCAAAUAAGUUCUGAUUAAACAAAAAAUUUAAACU